rnacentral:tRNA from 1 species
GCCAGCGUAGCUCAGGGGUAGAGCACUUCCUUGGUAAGGAAGGGGUCGCGAGUUCAACUCUCGCCGCCGGCU